rnacentral:rRNA from 1 species
AUUGAACGCUGGCGGCAUGCUUUACACAUGCAAGUCGAACGGCAGCGCGGGCUUCGGCCUGGCUGCGAGUGGCGAACGGGUGUGUAAUGCAUCGGAACGUGCCCAGUAGUGGGGGAUAGCCCGGCGAAAGCCGGAUUAAUACCGCAUACGACCUGAGGGUGAAAGCGGGGGACCGAAAGGCCUCGCGCUAUUGGAGCGGCCGAUGUCGGAUUAGCUAGUUGGUGGGGUAAAGGCUUACCAAGGCGACGAUCCGUAGCUGGUCUGAGAGGACGACCAGCCACACUGGGACUGAGACACGGCCCAGACUCCUACGGGAGGCAGCAGUGGGGAAUUUUGGACAAUGGGGGCAACCCUGAUCCAGCCAUGCCGCGUGCGGGAAGAAGGCCUUCGGGUUGUAAACCGCUUUUGUUCGGGAAGAAAUCCUCUGGGCUAAUACCCCGGGGGGAUGACGGUACCGGAAGAAUAAGCACCGGCUAACUACGUG